rnacentral:lncRNA from 1 species
AAUUUGAAGAGAGGAAACACAGUAACACUGCAUUUUUAUAUAAAAUAUGAUACCUUUUGAUUGGAAAAAUAACCAGCCAAAAAUAAAAAGAAAACAAUUCAUGUAUCUCAAAAAUAAAAGGGUUCUAGGUUGGAGGCGUUAGCAGCAUUUUGGCUGGGGUAUAUGGGAGGCAAUAUGGAAACCAUCAAACUUGUUCUCACGUCAUUCUGCAAGUCCUGGUGUCCUGAGGAGUUCAAGCAUUUCAUUUUAAAUAAAUAUAUUGGCACCAUGUGCUCUCUGUAAUACUAAAUGAUGUACUAGGCACUGAUGGAUUCCAGAUGGAGUAAGGACAUGAAAUUAAGCUGGGGCAAUGAGUUUGGAUGAAGAACAGAACAGAGGUAAAGGGCCCUGUCAUCACAUCACAUGAGAAAGUCCAUGUUAUCAACAUGACAUCACUGGUGGUGCUAGCCAUGAUCACUGGGAGAAUAUAUAUGUAGAGGAAAUACAUCACACAGAUAUUUGGAGAAGACUAUUUCAGGUGUGCUGAAGCCCUAUCCCCAAGAUGACUAUAUUUGGAGACAGGAUUUUUGGAGGAAUAUUUCAUCUUUUGGUUUAGAAAUUCAAAGCAUUCAAGUUUAUUAAGGU